GCAGUAGCUCAGUGGUGGAGCGCUCGCCUCACAUACGUGGAGACCUAGGUUCGAUUCCCAGCUGC
rnacentral:tRNA from 1 species